rnacentral:rRNA from 1 species
CUGCCAGUAGUCAUAUGCUUGUCUCAAAGAUUAAGCCAUGCAUGUCUCAGUACAAGCCAAAUUAAGGUGAAACCGCGAAAGGCUCAUUAAAUCAGUUAUGGUUCCUUAGAUCGUACCCACAAUUACUUGGAUAACUGUGGUAAUUCUAGAGCUAAUACAUGCAAACAGAGCUCCGACCGGAGACGGAAGGAGUGCUUUUAUUAGAUCAAAACCAAUCGGUGGCGGGUUCGCGCUCGUCAUCGUACAACUUGGUGACUCUGAAUAACUUUACGCUGAUCGCACGGUCUCGCACCGGCGACGCAUCUUUCAAAUGUCUGCCUUAUCAACUGUCGAUGGUAGGUUCUGCGCCUACCAUGGUUGUAACGGGUAACGGGGAAUCAGGGUUCGAUUCCGGAGAGGGAGCCUGAGAAACGGCUACCACAUCCAAGGAAGGCAGCAGGCGCGCAAAUUACCCACUCCCGGCACGGGGAGGUAGUGACGAAAAAUAACGAUACGGGACUCAUCCGAGGCCCCGUAAUCGGAAUGAGUACACUCUAAACCCUUUAACGAGGAUCAAUUGGAGGGCAAGUCUGGUGCCAGCAGCCGCGGUAAUUCCAGCUCCAAUAGCGUAUAUUAAAGU